GGCCUCGACAAUAACGCUUGUCCGAUUGUCCGGUACCAGAGGGAAAAAAGGUCGGACAAAUAAAAGCUGUAUCAAGCUUGUCCGUCGGGACAAGUACACUUAUUCUGUAGAAAAUAAAUUUAAUCCAACUUUGAUGAACAAAGUAAUUUUAAACAAAAAACAAGAAAACAAAUAUUAUUUUGACAUGUUUCUGAAUUCUGUUUAU
rnacentral:lncRNA from 1 species